rnacentral:rRNA from 1 species
GACGAACGCUGGCGGCGUGCUUAACACAUGCCAGUCGAACGGAAAGGCCCUGCUUUUGUGGGGUGCUCGAGUGGCGAAAGGGUGAGUAACACGUGAGUAACCUGCCCUUGCCUUUGGGAUAACUUCAGGAAACUGGGGCUAAUACCGCUAAGGAGCUCCUGCUGCGUGGUGGGGGUUGGAUGGUUUCGGCGGUUGGGGUUGGACUCGCGGCUUAUCAGCCUGUUGGUGGGGUAGUGGCUUACCAAGGCUUUGACGGGUAGCCGGCCUGGGAGGGUGACCGGCCACAUUGGGACUGAGAUACGGCCCAGACUCCUACGGGAGGCAGCAGUGGGGAAUAUUGCACAAUGGGCGGAAGCCUGAUGCAGCAACGCCGCGUGCGGGAUGACGGCCUUCGGGUUGUAAACCGCUUUCGCCUGGGACGAAGCGUGAGUGACGGUAAUGGGUAAAGAAGCACCGGCUAACUACGUG